rnacentral:rRNA from 1 species
AUGAACGCUGGCGGCGUGCCUAAUACAUGCAAGUCGAGCGAACAGACGAGGAGCUUGCUCCUCUGACGUUAGCGGCGGACGGGUGAGUAACACGUGGAUAACCUACCUAUAAGACUGGGAUAACUUCGGGAAACCGGAGCUAAUACCGGAUAAUAUAUUGAACCGCAUGGUUCAAUAGUGAAAGACGGUUUUGCUGUCACUUAUAGAUGGAUCCGCGCCGCAUUAGCUAGUUGGUAAGGUAACGGCUUACCAAGGCGACGAUGCGUAGCCGACCUGAGAGGGUGAUCGGCCACCCUGGAACUGAGACACGGUCCAGACUCCUACGGGAGGCAGCAGUAGGGAAUCUUCCGCAAUGGGCGAAAGCCUGACGGAGCAACGCCGCGUGAGUGAUGAAGGUCUUCGGAUCGUAAAACUCUGUUAUUAGGGAAGAACAAAUGUGUAAGUAACUAUGCACGUCUUGACGGUACCUAAUCAGAAAGCCACGGCUAACUACGUG